rnacentral:rRNA from 1 species
AUUGAACGCUGGCGGCAUGCUUUACACAUGCAAGUCGAACGGUAACAGGGAGCUUGCUCCGCUGACGAGUGGCGAACGGGUGAGUAAUGCGUCGGAACGUGCCGAGUCGUGGGGGAUAACGCAUCGAAAGGUGUGCUAAUACGGCAUACGUACUGAGGUAGAAAGUGGGGGACCUUCGGGCUUUACGCUAUUCGAGCGCCGGACGUCGGAUUAGCUAGUUGGUGGGGUAAAGGCUCACCAAGGCGACGAUCGGUAGCGGGUCUGAGAGGAUGAUCCGCCACACUGGGACUGAGACACGGCCCAGACUCCUACGGGAGGCAGCAGUGGGGAAUUUUGGACAAUGGGCGCAAGCCUGAUCCAGCCAUGCCGCGUGUCUGAAGAAGGCCUUCGGGUUGUAAAGGACUUUUGUCCGGGAGCAAAUGCCUGGUGUUAAUAGCACUGGGAGCUGAGAGUACCGGAAGAAUAAGCACCGGCUAACUACGUGCCAGCAGCCGCCGUAACAC